UUACCAUCUCACAAUUUAAAGAAGCAGUGGGGCAUGUUGAGCUUGUGUGGAGAUAAAAAAUGUCAAAGGGGCAGAGGUUCAUGUUGUGAGGAUCUGAGAGAUAGUUGAGAGCUCAAUGAAAAAUGUUGGGUGCCCAGAAAGUGGAAUUGAGAGCUAGAAAUUAAGUGGUAUCUAACCAGUAGCCACAUUGCAACAUGGCAGAAUCGCAGCUGGCACUUCUUUUCAGAGAAUUUGGCAGUAUGUAAAACCAGCCUCACAACCGCAGACCAUGUGUUACCAUGCCAGCCCAGGACCUCCACAUGCAACUUCUUCACCUGCAGGAUCAUCUGAGACCAGUCA